UUUUCAGCUUUUACCAACACAUACGCAAAAGUAACUUUUUGUAGUUAAAUGGCAAUCUCAUUAACCCAAAUUUUUUAUGUAUAAGAGAGAGAUGCACGUACUACAAUGAACCGAUCAAAAUCUCCGCCAUUCAUAUGAAAACAAAAUUUGAAGUGAGUUGAUAGCGGUACUGUGGUUGACUGUAUGCUGGAGCUUAUUUUAAAGGAAUAUAACUGCAGAAAAUGGUCUCGGAAGGCAAAGCGAGGUACAACGCACAUCUGGUGCGUACAUGCAAAACUAAAAAGAGAAGCAGAACAAGGAUUAUGCCAUUUUAAGCAGAUGGGAAAAAUUAAAGUUUAAGCUGAAAAGUGCGGGGAAUCCUACCAGCAGUUCUUCAAGGCAUAUAAUCGCUCAUCAAUCGUACAUUACAAAUUCGACGUAUAAUGGAAGAAGCACUCGUAGUCCUUGUGUCAGGAAGUAACAAGCUCUUUCUUCGCUCAAUAAACUUUCAUUGUGCCCGCCUCUACUCUAUGUGUGUUACCAAGAACAUUCCCCGAAUACACAUAUACAUUGCUAAAUGAUAAAUGUAAUGUGCAAGAAACGGAUGAACGAUCAAACGUUCACAAGAAUAGAAACUGCUAGUACCGCUCCCUGGCUUUUCACCGAAGAAUUUGCCGGUACUUGAAUUGCAAGGGUGUGUCUUAAACUUAAACGCACACACAUGAGAAUGUGUUUUAAAAAAUGUUAAACACCACAUACGUUUGUAUAAGUGAAAUGUGUUUAAAUGUGCUGCUCAUGAGUGUGUAAAUACCCUGCAUUAAUGUAGUUCUGUGGUGUAUGUGAUGAAAAGUGGUUCAGUAACGGAAACGGUCAGUAGAAUCGCGGGGAAAUGGUGCAAACGAUGACCAAACAAGGAUUGACGAUCAGGAAGGUUUUGUUAUGUGUUUGGUGGAUUUGGGAGAGAAUAAUUUAUUUUGAGCUACCCCCUACCGUCAAACUUAAUUCAACCUGUACUGUGAAGAAUGUGACCGUCUGAAUGGGAAGUAAUUGGCUAAUAGGAGAAGAAUUAUUCCACGAGGACAACGCCAGGCCACGCAUAUUGAUAGUGUAAGGUUCUUUUGCAAUCACGCGAAGAGUAACAUGAAAUUAUCUUCAAAAUCCCAAAAAGUAGUUGAAGUGUGCAUGGUUGACAUAAAUCGGAUCAUUUUAACUAUGCUAAAUAAAACCUUCAAUUUAAUGCAAAAAUAAUAGGGGUAUUCAGACCGAUCCUGUUAAUCUGGUAAUUCGUUAAA